UUGGGCCCAUUAUCUUUCCUAAGAUGAUUAGGAAACUAUUUGUGAAUGACUUGCUGCUAACUUAGGAUCUUUGAGUGUUAUGUGACUUCUCACAUUCACUAAGUACUCUUUCAGAACCAUGUUGUCUCUGUUGCUGGGAAGCAGUCGGAUAGACAGGAAGGACUGUCCAUGGCCCGGGAUGUCUGUGUGCCUCAACAGGCAGCAGAAUACCGGAGAGAUGCAUGCAACCAUCCUUGAUGAUUGGAGUAAUAUGGAACAGAGAGGGGGACAUGGGGUUGAGAGAGGAUCACAGAGCCAAGCACCAUGCUCUGGUGUCACCACUGCAGGACUAGCAUGUUCAUCUCAGCACGAAAAUUGUAUCAUCUGUAGACAACAGACACCAGAAUCAGCCCCUGCAAAACAGCAUAGCCGGAGGGUCUCUUCAGUGUUAUCCUAUGUACACAGAGAGUGCAAAGCCAGCUGCUAA
rnacentral:lncRNA from 1 species